CGUAUCGCCGCAGCGCGGCUGUACCCGGUUUGGGUCGAAACCGGAUAUCACGUGGGGUCAGCGAGGUACUCCCUGCCCCUAGAUAGGCGUGAAAGUAGCUAGGGAAUGAUUCCUCAGCCAUGCCUGCCAUGUCCCCAGUCCCUGUGUGCCUAGAAGCACCCGCUGCCCCAACACAAGCAUGCACCUUGCGCGGGAGCGGCCGCAUGCAAGACGCCGCCGCCAAGAAUUCGCGGUGAGAACGUCGUCGACCGCAUUACCGCCAACCCACGAAGGACUGCGACCUCAAGGCCUUGCUCCUUCAGCUGUAGCGCGACGUGAGCCCUGCUAUUUCACUUUCAAGAUACGUAAGCUGCUUCGACCCUGAAAAUGCAGAUGCAAUGGUGCAUCUGAACAGCCAAUGGAUACCAUGCCCACUCUGUAACGACCAGUGCUUUCAAUGAAACAGCACAGCGGAAUAAAGUCAACCACGUGAGGCACCUCAGACAGCAUAUGCAGUGGGUUGUGACGGAUUUAAUGAUUUCAUCAGCAUUUUCACUGGAUGCAAGGCUGUGAAUCUCUUGUAUGAUGCAUGUGUGGAAAAGAAACCCAACAUCCGGUGCACAUGCUUGCUUGAAACAGUCGGGCCUAUCCCAUUAGUUGAGUGCCCUUGCGUCGGCAUUUGCUGAUGUGAUCCCAGCUAUCUUAAGCCAUUACAUUCUGAUGAAUUUACUGCAGCCACUCUUUGGAAAAAUAGCACAUGGCAAUUAUUUCCAGGUAAUUAGUUCUCCCAUACAGAAA